UACGGGGGGGGCAAGCGUUGUUCGGAAUUACUGGGCGUAAAGGGCUCGUAGGCGGCCAACUAAGUCAUACGUGAAAUCCCUCGGCUUAACCGGGGAACUGCGUCUGAUACUGGAUGGCUUGAGUUCGGGAGAGGGAUGCGGAAUUCCAGGUGUAGCGGUGAAAUGGCGUAGAUAUCUGGAGGAACACCGGUGGCGAAGGCGGCAUCCUGGACCGAUACUGACGCUGAGGAGCGAAAGCCAGGGGAGCAAACGGG
rnacentral:rRNA from 1 species